AGGCAGUGGUGAAGAGACAACGGGAUGUCACAUCACUAGUGGGAUGUCACAUGACUAGCACAUGAUGGGGAGGUAGGACGUAACAUAGAUGGGGAAGCAGAGGGUCUCUCAGAGAUAGGAGUGGUGAAUAGGCCGAGGAUGGGCCCAGAAGGUUCAGUCUAUAUCCAGCAGAGGGAGAGCAAGACAGUGAAGACUGAGGCAGCCACAAAGAGUGGGUCCAUGGGAUGUGAGUCAUGUCAGGGAAAUCGGUGGGAAAACAAGGAACAGGCAGGAGGGAAGAGGGGAUGAUCUCUUGACACACCAGAGGGUCAGGGGCACCGUGGAAAAGGGGAAGGUGGUACGAAGAACUUCUAAUCUGGGGACAUCAGCAGAUCUCGGGGGGGGCCACAAAGAUUGUCGUGUGUGGUACUGAGGCUGGACAGUAGCAGGAGAGCAGAGGGAAGAUGCUACCACCUGGGUAUAUGGAUCCGGGGCUCUCAGGAGCAAGGGGGAACAGGGGACACAGGGAUAGAGGUGACUGAGGAGUGUGGCAGCCCCACGCAUCAGAACAGAUACUGAAUAGAGACUGCUGAUGGGAGAACUCAGGGAGUUCACGGUGGCCUCAGGGAAUGGAGUCCAGUAUGUAGGUCACACAUAUGCAGGUCACACAUAUGCUUUGAAAUGGGGGAGGAGCUAACACGAAGCAAUGCGGAAGUGACCUUUCUCAACAGUCACCAAAUCCCUGCUUCUGCAGUUCCAGAGUUGAAGGGUGGAAUUCAAACACGUGGCUAGAGACUCCGACAGGGACUUUCAGCUGGGCAGGGGGACACCUUCAAAAAUCUAAGAAUGCCACAGGUUUGGUCCAGGAACUUGAUGGCAGCAGCAGAGGGGCCCAGGGGGAGAGCAAGGGGCAGGGUAGGGAGUAAGGUCUGGGGAACACUUAUUUUAGAGGCUUCAUUGGGUGGACAACUGAGGUGGCAAGGCUUCCCGGGAUGAAGAGAGACAGGAUGGGCUCAAAAUCACGUGGCCGAGCAGGAAGGAGGGCAAACAGGCAUCUGGACAGUGUCAGUGGGGUGUGCAGGCUGGGGGUGCCUCAGGGGACCCAGGAAGCAAGGGAGGUGGGGGAAGGAGGACGAGCUGGAAGUCCAGGUCUGGCGUAAAGUCCUGUGUGCAAAGGCUUGACUGAGAGGGAAGAGAGAGGAAGGAGGCAGGUGAGGUGGGGUGAGGCCAGGGGAAGGGGAGCCUCACACAGGGAGGCGGGUCAGAGCCAGUGGAAGGACCAGAAGAGCGACAGCAGAUGGUUUCAGAGAGGACAAUGGCCUGUUGAGGGGAUGGAAAGAGUGUGAGCUGAGAGCAAGUCCCGGGAAAGGAGUUCCUCUGAUGGUGAGGGGACAACCCAAUGGGACUCCAUGACAGGCUCUGGGGAGCUUUGAGGUGCACGGGUCCUAGGGAAGAGGCAGGGCGCUUUCCCUGGGCUGAGGAGGAAAAGGGAAGAAACACAGCCUGCGAGAAAAGAUCUUGAGAAAGACUGUCCAAAGGGGUCUUGAUGGAGUGUGACAGGAGGGUCACGUCUCAGAGACAGGCAAGGUGAAGGGAGGCACCCAGGGGACGAAGGAGAGGGGAGACAGGCUGAACACCAACAGGGAGAGCAGAGAAGAGGGAGGUGGCGGAGAACGCAUCCGGACCCGUCUCCGAGGUGCCCCGCAAGGGGAAGCUCAGAGAGGUGGGCCAGGCGAGGGCGGCCUGAGCGGUGGCAGGGGAAGGAGGGAAGAAGAAGAGGUGGUGGCAGGAGCUGCUCUCAUGGCCUUGAAUAUGGUGGCGAGGGUAGAACUUUUCGGCCAGGCUCUUUACUACGGAUCCGGAGGGGACGGGGUGGGAGGUGGGGCUGGGGUGAGUGACAGGACUUGGCUUUGAUGGGCGGGACGUGAGGGCAGGGUAGGAGCAAUGGAGAGGGGUGUGGGGAGACAUGGCCCAAACUCCAGGCACAGAGAUAAGCCCGUUCUCAAACUGAGCUUGUGGACUGAUUCACACCCAGUGUUGAGGGCGACGGGCACAGACUGAAGAAACAUUGGGGAAGACAGGGGAGUCCACAUGGAGAGGACAGGAGAGCAGCUGCCGGAAAGGCAGCGGGAGAGGUGCGCUUGGCAGGAGUCACAGAGGGACAUGAGGGGCAAGGCUCUGCAGGGGAACGGUGUCCUGACUUAUACCAAGAGAAAUAAACUAGAGAAAGUGACGGCCACCAAGGGUGUCAGGGCAAGGGUCAGGAAGAGAACAGUGCUCUAGCGCACACUGGGGUUUGGGUUAGGUCACAUGUCAGAGAGUAAAUGGUUGGGGGGGAACGCAGGGAAUCCAAGGGCAGAGAGCCGGCCCGUGUCAGCUGCUGGGGCAGUGCUGGGCCUGAAGGACAAGUGUUCCCGGCCACUGAUGGAAGCAGGAAGCUAGAGGUGCGCGAGGGCGGGGCGCAGCCCGGGGAGUCGGGGCUGCCUUUCACUGCAGUGAUUCUCCCCGAGGAUGGGGGGGUGGUUUUCACCCGAGGGGGGCUGUGGGCACGGCCCCCAGGGCAGGCCUAUCAGUACAUCUGAGGGGGAGCAGUGCUCUGCUCAGUGCAAAAGCAAACCCAAAAACACACAAAAGCAAACCCAAAAACACGCCCAGACGGUGACGCUGAUAGGUGGUCUUGGGGGUCGUGGGUCCUCGGGUGAGAAUCACUGGGUGGAAGGGGCCGAGUGGAAGGCGGGUAGAGAGGGGACACUUGAGCAGGUGAGUCCCCGGGCCAGGGCAGGUGACACGGGAGGCCACAGAAUCAGGGCCGUGAGACGUGGGGGAGAAGGAGCCCGGCCCAGGCAGACAGCGAGCAAAUGGAUGUAGCCGAGAAGGCCUCUGGUUCGAUGUGGGGAUGGGGGUGGUGGGGUGGUGGAGGGUUGAAGGCUGGGGUUUACUGUCCGUGGUCGGGGGUGCAGACCAGCUGAGGACACUGGAAGAGGAAGGCGGAGGGAGAUGGCAGUGGCUGGAGCGGG